rnacentral:rRNA from 1 species
GGAAUAUUGGACAAUGGGCGAAAGCCUGAUCCAGCAAUGCCGCGUGAGUGAUGACGGCCCUCGGGUUGUAAAGCUCUUUUACCCGGGAUGAUAAUUACAGUACCGGGAGAAUAAGCUCCGGCUACCUCCGUGCCAGCAGCCGCGGUAAUACGGAGGGAGCUAGCGUUGUUCGGAAUUACUGGGCGUAAAGCGCGCGUAGGAGGUCUAUCAAGUCAGGGGUGAAAUCCCGGGGCUCAACCCCGGAACUGCCCUGGAAACUGGCAGACUAGAAUCUUGGAGAGGUCAGUGGAAUUCCGAGUGUAGAGGUGAAAUUCGUAGAUAUUCGGAAGAACACCAGUGGCGAAGGCGACUGACUGGACAAGCAUUGACGCUGAGGUGCGAAAGCGUGGGGAGCAAAC